rnacentral:rRNA from 1 species
CCCGCACAAGCGGUGGAGCAUGUGGUUUAAUUCGAAGCAACGCGAAGAACCUUACCAAAUCUUGACAUCUUUUGACCGCUCUAGAGAUAGAGUUUUCCUCUUCGGAGGACAAAAUGACAGGUGGUGCAUGGUUGUCGUCAGCUCGUGUCGUGAGAUGUUGGGUUAAGUCCCGCAACGAGCGCAACCCUUGAGCUUAGUUGCCAUCAUUAAGUUGGGCACUCUAAGUUGACUGCCGGUGACAAACCGGAGGAAGGUGGGGAUGACGUCAAAUCAUCAUGCCCCUUAUGAUUUGGGCUACACACGUGCUACAAUGGACAAUACAAAGGGCAGCAAAACCGUGAGGUCAAGCAAAUCCCAUAAAGUUGUUCUCAGUUCGGAUUGUAGUCUGCAACUCGACUACAUGAAGCUGGAAUCGCUAGUAAUCGUAGAUCAGCAUGCUACGGUGAAUACGUUCCCGGGUCUUGUACACACCGCCCGUCACACCACGAGAGUUUGUAACACCCGAAGCCGGUGGAGUAACCAUUUGGAGCUAGCCGUCGAAGGUGGGACAAAUGAUUGGGGUGAAGUCGUAACAAGGUAGCCGUAUCGGAAGGUGCGGCUGGAUCACCUCCUUU